rnacentral:rRNA from 1 species
GACAGAGGGUGCGAACGUUGUUCGGAAUUACUGGGCGUAAAGCGCGUGUAGGCGGCUCGAUAAGUCGGAUGUGAAAGCCCUGGGCUCAACCUAGGAAGUGCAUUCGAAACUGCUGAGCUUGAGUUCUGGAGAGGAAGGCGGAAUUCUCGGUGUAGAGGUGAAAUUCGUAGAUAUCGAAGAGGAACACCGGUGGCGAAGGGCGGCCUCUGG